AACUUAAAGGAAUUGACGGGGGAGCACCACAACGGGUGGAGCUUGGUCGGUUUAAUUGGAUUCAACGCCGGAAAUCUUACCGGGACCGACAGCAAUAUGAAGGCCAGGCUGAAGACUUUGCCGGAUUAGCUGAGAGGUGGUGCAUGGCCGUCGUCAGUUCGUACUGUGAAGCAUCCUGUUAAGUCAGGCAACGAGCGAGACCCACGCCCACAGUUGCCAGCGUACUCUCUGGAGUGACGGGUACACUGUGGGGACCGCCGCUGCUAAAGCGGAGGAAGGAAUGGGCAACGGUAGGUCAGUAUGCCCCGAAUAUCCCGGGCUACACGCGAGCUACAAUGGUUGGUACAAUGGGUAUCUACCCCGAAAGGGGACGGGAAUCUCCUAAAACCAAUCUUAGUUCGGAUUGAGGGCUGCAACUCGCCCUCAUGAAGCUGGAAUCCGUAGUAAUCGCGUUUCAACAGAACGCGGUGAAUACGUCCCUGCUCCUU
rnacentral:rRNA from 1 species